rnacentral:rRNA from 1 species
CCCUUAGAUGUUCUGGGCCGCACGCGCGCUACACUGACUGGUGCAACAAGUGUCGCUCCUUGGCCGAUAGGCCUGGGCAAUCUUUGAACGCCAGUCGUGAUGGGGAUAGAUUCUUGCAAUUUUUGAUCUUCAACGAGGAAUGCCUAGUAAGCGCAAGUCAUCAGCUUGCGUUGAUUACGUCCCUGCCCUUUGUACACACCGCCCGUCGCUCCUACCGAUUGAAUGGUCCGGUGAAGCGUUCGGACCGUGGCCUUUGGACGGUUCGCCGUCUGUUGGCUGCGGGAAGUUCGUUAAACCUUAUCAUUUAGAGGAAGGAGAAGUCGUAACA